CCGAAUGGGGAAACCCAGUGUGACUCGUCACACUAUCAUUAACUGAAUCCAUAGGUUAAUGAGGCGAACCGGGGGAACUGAAACAUCUAAGUACCCCGAGGAAAAGAAAUCAACCGAGAUUCCCCCAGUAGCGGCGAGCGAACGGGGAGGAGCCCAGAGCCUGAAUCAGCAUGUGUGUUAGUGGAAGCGUCUGGAAAGGCGCGCGAUACAGGGUGACAGCCCCGUACACAAAAGCGCAUGUGCUGUGAGCUCGAUGAGUAGGGCGGGACACGUGGUAUCCUGUCUGAAUAUGGGGGGACCAUCCUCCAAGGCUAAAUACUCCUGACUGACCGAUAGUGAACCAGUACCGUGAGGGAAAGGCGAAAAGAACCCCGGCGAGGGGAGUGAAAAAGAACCUGAAACCGUGUACGUACAAGCAGUGGGAGCACAGGUUUACCUGUGUGACUGCGUACCUUUUGUAUAAUGGGUCAGCGACUUAUAUUCUGUAGCAAGGUUAACCGAAUAGGGGAGCCGGAGGGAAACCGAGUCUUAAUUGGGCGUUAAGUUGCAGGGUAUAGACCCGAAACCCGGUGAUCUAGCCAUGGGCAGGUUGAAGGUUGGGUAACACUAACUGGAGGACCGAACCGACUAAUGUUGAAAAAUUAGCGGAUGACCUGUGGCUGGGGGUGAAAGGCCAAUCAAACCGGGAGAUAGCUGGUUCUCCCCGAAAGCUAUUUAGGUAGCGCCUCGUGAA
rnacentral:rRNA from 1 species